rnacentral:lncRNA from 1 species
CUUAAAUGUAUUUAUUCAAUUUUCUAAUUCAUAAUCUGUGUUAGUAUGAAUGUCAAAACAAUGACGGAUCUACACAUAUAAAAAGUAGGAUAUUAUUUGUUAAACACGAAUAUAUGUAUAUAAUAUAAUUUGGUUUUUAACCAUGGGCAUAUCAACAACUUUCACGACUAAUUUUAUCAUCAGUAUGUGAUAUAAUGCAUAAUAAAACAAUAAUUGGAUUCAAAAAAGAAACAGAUAUUUAAGAAACUUUAACUUUACGAAUAAAUGAGAUUAAAAAA